rnacentral:tRNA from 1 species
CCUUCGAUAGCUCAGUUGGUAGAGCGGAGGACUGUAGGUGGGAUGAUGGCAAUCCCUUAGGUCGCUGGGUUCGACUCCGGCUCGAAGGA